ensembl:lncRNA
GCUAACUACAAUAUCGUAAUACGUUUGAAAGUAAUACGUUAUAUUCUUUAUUUGUGAAUCAGGAAAUUGUAAUUGAUGCAAGGUUUGUUAUACCUUAUCACAGGGAUUAACAGGCCCUGUAAAGUUGCAGAUAUGGCUGCUUUUUGUGUGGUAUCUACACACAUGAUGGGGGUAGUAAGGUGCUUUUGUAAGUGAAAUGUUUAAUUAUUGAUAUAUUUUCACUGAGUGAUUCCCUCUGGCUUUUUUUUUUUUUUUUUUUUUUUUUUCAUGAGCAUCCUCUCAAAAUUUAGAUGAAUAACAACAUGAGGUUAUCUGCAAAUGUUUGUUACCACAUUAAAUAUGGACUUAAACAUCUUCAGGUGAGCAACAAGAGUGGGCACACAUUGCAUUUCCUUCAAUGCACUGACACAUUCCUAAAUCAAAGAAAAAGUGGGCAAUCUCCCAGGGCCCUGAGACUUGGUUGUAAAGUAGCUAGUGUUUUGUGCAGUGUGGCUAUUGGACCUGAUUCUAGAGAUUGGUUUUACUCUUGAGCAGUCCAGAGCAGAGCUGCAUCCUGGGACUUUUUCCUAGUUGACUGACACCCCCAUCCAUUGUCUGGUUUAUCGUAGUCCAAUCUUGACAGAACUUUGAGUAUCCUACAGCUGUCUGUGAUGUACAGAAUUAGCCUUCAGACCAGUGACUGUGGAACAAAACGUCCCCAGUAACAUAGCAACUGAUGACCUUUGAAAGAGCCCAAUUUCAUUGUGGGAAUCUGUUUUCAGAGGCGCAUAGAAAUCUGUCGAUGUGCCCUUGAGCAAGGCACUGAUUGCACCUAAUUGCUCCUGUAUGUCGCUCUGGAUAACAGCAUCUGCUAUAUGAAACAAAUGAACAUGUAAUCAUUUAGGGAAGAGGGACAAUAUCCAUGACUGGUGAAAAAAAGAUUUAUAACAGAAUAAAUGUAAAGCAUGUAAAAGGAACAGGAAAUACAGCUGAUGUCACAAGAGAGACAAGGUUAAAAUAUGCUAAUUCUAACUGUAGGUAUUAAGAGCAGUGUAAAUAACGUGAAAGCAUUUAAUGUGCUUUUUGGCAGCAUUCUCCAUAAGUACACAUUGUGUUCCAUUGUGAAGACUUGGGCUUGCUGCACAAAGGUUUGGGAAAGUUGUGGUGGAAUGUAAAAAAAAAAAAAACUAAAAAAACAACAGACAUCAAUCUUUCACCUGGCAUCACCCUUUGGUAAUAAUGUUUUUUGUCCUAGGGCAGUAGCAGGCCUGAUUGAUGAUCCAGGGUGAUUGUUUUCAUCCAUCAUGUCUUGAGAGGCCAGGUAAGGAGCCAGGCAGGGGGGAACUAAGAAAUCACAGGCUAACUCGUGAUUGAACGUUGUGGGGGGAGCAAAUGUCAAGCCGCCCCUCUCUGUCUGGAGCCUGGUUUGAUAUGGUUUUGUUAUACAAAAAAACUAUACAUUGAUGUGCAUUGGCUUUCUAAUCUUAAUCUCUUGUUUAACUUUGUUUUUCCCUCACUGCUUAUAUAUUUAUAUAUUUUCUAAAUCGUCCCC